CCAGCGGAGGGAUCAUUACCGAGUUCACAACUCCCAAACCCCUGUGAACAUACCACUUGUUGCCUCGGCGGAUCAGCCCGCUCCCGGUAAAACGGGACGGCCCGCCAGAGGACCCCUAAACUCUGUUUCUAUAUGUAACUUCUGAGUAAAACCAUAAAUAAAUCAAAACUUUCAACAACGGAUCUCUUGGUUCUGGCAUCGAUGAAGAACGCAGCAAAAUGCGAUAAGUAAUGUGAAUUGCAGAAUUCAGUGAAUCAUCGAAUCUUUGAACGCACAUUGCGCCCGCCAGUAUUCUGGCGGGCAUGCCUGUUCGAGCGUCAUUUCAACCCUCAAGCACAGCUUGGUGUUGGGACUCGCGUUAAUUCGCGUUCCUCAAAUUGAUUGGCGGUCACGUCGAGCUUCCAUAGCGUAGUAGUAAAACCCUCGUUACUGGUAAUCGUCGCGGCCACGCCGUUAAACUCCAACUUCUGAAUGUUGACCUCGGAUCAGGUAGGAAUACCCGCUGAACUUAAGCAUAUCAAUAAGCGGAGGAA
rnacentral:rRNA from 1 species